GCACGCUUCACAGCAUGGAGAUCUUCCAGUGC
rnacentral:piRNA from 1 species